UCCAAGAGCUCAGACUGACAUUUUCCUGACACAGACACUUGAAGAGAACUCUUUUGAGGCUCCACAAUGCCUGUCUCUGCCUCCCAACUCCAGCCUUCUGGUCUCCUCCUGUUAGUGACUCUUCUGCCCAGACUCACAGCCACUGAGAAGAUUCUGCAAGUGAUUCAGCCUGAGAAGCCAGUGGUGCUUACUGCAGGAGAGACCGCCACUCUGCACUGCACUGUGACCUCUCUGCUCCCUGUAGGACCCAUCCUGUGGUUCAGGCAUCAAGGACAAGACCGGGAAUUAAUCUAUAAUUUCAAAGGAGGACACUUCCCACGAGUCACAAAUGUGGCAGAUGUGACAAAGAGAAACUCCACGGACUUUUCAAUAAAAAUCUAUAAUAUCACCCCUGCAGAUGCAGGCACCUACUACUGUGUCAAGUUCCAGAAAACAGACUCUGAGGACAAGGAGUUCUUAUCUGGAGGAGGCACCAAGAUGAUUGUGGGUCAUGUGGGCACCUACUACUGUGUCAAGUUCCAGAAAACAGACUCUGAGGACAAGGAGCUGUUGUCUGGAGGAGGCACCAAGAUGAUUGUGGGUGCCAAAGAUGAAAUUCUGCAGGUGAUUCAGCCUGAGAAGCUAGUUUGGAUUAUCGCAGGAGAGACUGCCACUCUGCACUGCACUGUGACCUCUCUGUUUCCUGUGGGACCCAUCCUGUGGUUCAGGGGACGAGGAAAAGACCAGGAGUUAAUCUACAAUUACAGAGGAGGCCACUUCCCACGAGUCACAAACAUAGCAGAUACCACAGGCAGACACAACACAGACUUUUCAAUCCAAAUCCGAAACGUCACCCCUGCAGAUGCGGGCACCUACUACUGUGUCAAGUUUCAGAAAACGCACUCUGAGGACAAGGAGUUGUUGUCUGGAGGAGGCACCAAGAUGCUUGUGGGUGCAACACAGAAAGAUCACAGUAGAAGGGUGUGACGGAGAAAACUUAUUCAGCUCAUAGCAGCCAAGAUGCACAGAGAGAGGGAAGAGACCGAGAAAUAAAGCACAAGCUAGAGUUCCAAAGAACUCACUUCUACGUAGGCCUGAAUGAAGCAACAGACCACGAAAGAGAGUCUGCCAGGCCAACACAACUCAAUUCAUGGCUGCCAGAAACAGAGGGGAGAAGAAACGGAGCAGUCUUGUACUUCUACACUCCUCACAGCUCUGCUGCUCAGCACAAAGGCGAUCCUGGCCAUCAUUGUCUCUGCUAUCUACAUCCUCCAGAAACUAAAGGUCUAACUGAACUGACUGAGCAUAGACUACAACAAGACAGAAGCACCUAAAGCAUGAAGUUACAGCAUCCUCUCCAACAAGGAGGCUUUCAUAGGACUGCAACAAAUCAAGAAGGGAGAAAGAUCAGAUUUUGGAUACCUGAUAAGGCUGACAGAAAAAACCUCAUCCUGACCAUCUAUCUCUAAGAGGGAAACUGAUCCAUCAGUUAAUGCAGUCAGAUGCAUAUCCCAAUGAGUACACUCGCACCUCUGCCUGGAACGCAGUGGUCUAAAGGAACCUGAUGAGUUGGCCCUAUGCUACGUGUACAAUGUGAUCAAAAUGUGAAGAGUAACAAAUAUUUGGUGGAGCAUGAGAUUGACAUGAGACUUGCAACCACAGAAGAGAUACUAUGGGAGAUUCAGACUGAGAACAUAGUGUUGAUGCAGGCAUGUACUACUGUGCCAUGUUCCAGAAGACAGGAGGCACUGAGGAGAAGCAGAUUCUGUCUGGAGGAGGCACCAAGCUGUUUUUAUGUGAAGAUGAACAGCCCGACCAUGGCCAGAUCUCACCAAUUCAUUCAUAUCGAGCUUUCUCUCUGAGUAUGGAUCUUUUCUUAUGCCACAGAACUGAGGGCCUAUUUUGUCCCAGGAUCCUUUCUGCAGGCCAGAGAAACAGAAGGGAGAUGCCCAGGCUGAGCUCAUCACCUACCAAGUUGUCAUUCCCCUGCAGAAGUGGGAGGCUGCAGUUAUAUUCAUUUCCUCUAAACAAAAAGAAUGAGAAUAUUCCCCACUGUCAGAGGCUCCUUUUUGAUUUCAAUGCCAUGGUUGGAGAAAUGCCAAGAUGUUGAACCAUUUCCUAGUCCUAUGUAUGAAAACUUAUUGAAUCAGCAACAGCCUCUCACAGAAAUGAAGCAGUCUUCUACUUCUACCCUCCUCACAGCUCUGCUUUUCAGCACAGAGGUGCUACAGGCCAUCAUUUUCUCUGCUACCUACAUCCUCUGGAAACUGAAGGCCUAAGUGUAAGUGUAGGAUGAGAGGGAAUAAGAAGGACUCACAGAAAAGGGCAGGGUGAUUCAGGGGCCAGAUUACUUGUCACAUAGAAUCAGGAUCAAGGAAGUCUAGAGCAAAUGGCACUCAGCAUCCCAGGGUUCUCAAAGACCCUUCUGAAAGGUGCCCAGCUCUGGAAGUGUGUAGAGUGUUUUAGGAAAAGCGUAGGGGAAGGAUUUGCAAAAGUGGUGGACAGAGCCUUAAAGAUCCCAUUGUACAACUGAACUGAGGAGAAGACUGAGGAGCAACAGAGUGGCUUGCUUGGAAGUCAUCUCUGUAUUAGUUAAAAACUGCUCCAAGGGACAAGAACCAUCUGUAUUUUGAAGCAGUAUUGUGAAUCUCCACACAGACAGUUCACCUCUGAGCUCAUUCCCACUCUGCUCCUCUGUGUGACUCAGCAGAAAAAACAGAGAAGGGGUGUCAGAACUCAGUGUGGAUGCUGAGGAAGAAAUUCUUUCUCAGGUGCUGCCUGUCAACUUACAACAGAUGUCCCCAUGAGAAGAGCAGCUUCUGUAUUAUGACCGUAGGAGGAGACAUUUCUUGCACGAGGAGCAUAUAACCCAAAGUGACAUGUUUCCCCACUACCUCAACUUCCUCACUCAACUUCCUUCCUGUGGAGGACCCUCAAUCUCUGCUACUUUCUUCCUGCUCUGAGAAGAUUGAUCUGGAAGAAAAUGUGAUAAGAAGUUACCUUAGACUGUGUUACAAACAUCUCUCUACUUCAGACAACUGUUGGCCCAUAAACCCUUGUUGUUGCUUUACACAGUCAUUGAUGUCCUUAGAACUGAUCUGCACCCAUGAUCCUGAGCAAGAACCACGGGAGCUGGCUGUAGGAUCUAACUCAGAUAUUUUACUGGAAAAUGUGCAACAAUGUAAACAAUUACGUUUUAGACAUAGAACACACCUCCCCCUAAAUUCACAUAUAUUCAGAGACAGUAUUUUAGAAAGUGACUGAGUCAUAUGCACAUGAUUCUUAUGAGUGGAUUAAAUCAUGAAUGAAAUCCUGACUGAUGUGCUGUUAAAAUGUGAAAGCAUUGCAGAUGUGGGUUACUAGAGCCAUGACCUGGACACUGGGCUCUUUCACUCUGAUUUUUCUGUCUUUGAUUCAGCCAACAGUGGACUAAACUGUUAGCCCUAAUUAAUAUAUUUGUAAGUACUGGUUAUUUUUUUCCCAGCAACACCAAAGUGUCUUAAUACAGACAAUUAGUCCCAAGGGUGGACUUGUUACUGUAACUGUCUCUGACCACAUAGCUUAAAAGGCUUUGAAACUGAUUUGAUGGAGGAAUUUAGAAAACCGUGAAGAUGCCAACUAUAAAAUUCUUAGAAAGUUGAAAGCUAGUUUUCAUGGUGAUUCUGGCUGGAACUCAGAAUAUGAGAAUACUGCAAGAAGAAUGAAUGAUAAAAGGCAAGUUUAAGAGGUUUCAGUUUCCAAACUCCAUUGAGAAGUAGACUAGAAGCCAUGUGGGUUACACUCUGGCAGAAAAUGUGUUUGUUUUGCCUAUGUUCUAGACUUUGCAAGAAGUUGAUAUUAAGUGCAGUGCACAGUUUAUCUGAUUUAAGAAGAUUCAAUGCAGCCCAAUAUUUAGACUUUGGCAAGGAUGAUGCCAGCUGCUUUUAGCCAGACUUCCAAGGAAAAGGAGGAUUAAAGAGCAGGGAUGAUUGAGUUGAAAAAUUUGCAUCUUGGUUAAAAAAAAUGUGUAAAUUUGGUGCCAAAAAGAUAUUAAAAGAAGCCAAGUAUUUUGCAUCCAGACAAUAAGAAUAGAUAGAUCACUUGAAGGAAUUUCAGGAAAUGGCCAAAUCCCACUCAUUGUAAUUUCAGGGGUGUUAAAAACUGCAAUCUCCUUUGAAAGUCUGUGCUUUGAUAAAAGAUCAUCACAGCAUCCUACUCAUUUUCAGCAACACAGAGAAAUAUUUCCCCAAGUUCAGUCACACAAUUUGGCCAUCCAUCACUCAGAUGAUACAGCCAUUCUCUGUGGGCUCCCAGCUAUUACUUCAUCUGGCAGCAGACCUUUACACUGUCCACAUGGUGUUGGUUAUGCAGGCGUGUAGAGUGCAACUUUUGUGGAGUUCUGGAGGCUCCCACCAGGAUUUCAGAAGAAAGCCUGGAUGGUCGAAGGAGCCCUUAAUAGGAUAGUGCAGAAAGUUGUGAGUCACACUGAAGUUGCAUGGAAAGCCAGGAAAUUGAUGCCAGAAAUGUGGACUGCUUGCUCGGAUAAACCAUAGGCACUGUGCAGAGCCUGCCUAAGAGAAAAGUCAUGUGAACUCAACCAGCAAAUCCAGAGGGGAUCAGAUUUCGCAAACCCUUUGGAACACAUCACUCACAACAACCUGACCUGGUUGCUCAAGUUAGAACUGCAGUAUUUAAUGUUUUAGUCUUGUUUUAUACACUUCUUCCUAUUCUCCUAUUUUUCUGUUUUGGAAAGAGAGCAUUUACCCAGUUCUGUUGUGUGUUGGGAAUCUUUGACAUUCUUUUUGAUUUUCAUGGGAGCUCACCGAUAAUGAGUUUGCUUUUAAUCUCAGAGGAGACUUUGGAAUUGGACUUUUGAGCAAUGUUAGAACUAAGAAUUUGACAACUCUUGGCCUGGAGUUCAUCUCAACAAUGUAAGUGUCUGCUGAACUGAGGUGGUAAGUUUGAUCCAUGGUACGAAAGAAAAAAAGAAAGAAAGAAAGAAAGAAAGAAAGAAAGAAAGAAAGAAAGAAAGAAAGAAAGAAAAAAGAAACAACAACAACAAAAAGCCUUGGGAAAAUCUUAGGGUCUGAAUGUAUUUUGUGUAAUAAAAUGGACAUGAACCUUAUGAGUGACCAGGGACAAAAUGUUAUUGCUUAUAUCUAAAAUAUUCCCCAGAAAAUUCAUCAGAUUUCUCAGGUGUUCAGAAGUGUAGCUUUUUUAAUUUGGUUGGAUCAUGAGAGCAUUAUUUUAUCGCUAUAUUAAUCUACUGAUGUGUUCAUUGCUGGAUAUGUAAUAGAGGUGUGGCCUAGUUGGAGUUAUGCGACAAGAGGCAUUAUCUAUAAGGGUGUAUUCUUGUCUCAGGCUUCUCCUUUCCCUCUGUGUUCCUGGCUGCCAUGGAUAAGCAGAUUUCAAUAAGUAUACCCUUUUGCUAUGCCAUUUCUGCCUUGAAUCUAACCAACCAUGGAAUGAACCCUCUGAAAUCAUGAACCAAAUAAACCUCCUGUCCUUUAAAUUCUAAGUGUUGAAUGUUUAGUUUUAGCAAUGUGAAAAUGAUUAAUACAUGAACCCACUAGGAUAAGUUUCAGCUAUUGCUAUGGAGGUGGUCAUCUCAUUACCACACACCACAUUCUCAAGAAUUAUUCAGUUUUCUAAGUUACUUUCCAACCCCGUUCCCCAGAACAAUUGUGGUCCUCACAGUGGGGAUGGUUAUAGCUCGCUUCCAGGUAGCUCAGGUCUUUGUCUUGAGCUUUGCUUCCUGACUCCAGUUCAGAGUGCUUAUCCUUGAGACACAGAUCUUAAACCCCACCAACAUAGCCAUUUGGCAUCCACCAAUGAAUGUUGGGCCUUCCCACUGCAGAUUUUUGAUUUGUACUUGCAUAGACAUGGCCAUAGGCAUUAGGCCUUUGGUUGGACUCAUGCUGGACACUGGUGUGGGAUCCAUGGCUUUGGCUGGAUUUCUCAGAUCUCUACCCCACAGUGAGAGCUCUUGAACUCUUCUGUAUUUGACUUUUUGUGUUAAUACUGUAAAAUAAUCCUAUAAAUCAUGUGUUUUCUAUUAAAUAUAUUCCCUUAUAAA